rnacentral:lncRNA from 1 species
GAGAAUAGAAUGGCGGGACGUAAAGGCUACACGGAAAAUUUUAGAGUUUCCUAUUGUGUAUUUAAUGAAAAAAACUGAAGCCAUAUUGUUAGAUGGUAAGAAAAAUAGUUAGAAGUUUGUCUCAACAUAACAAAAAAAGGUAAAGAACACGCUUUCAGGAACUCUCUCUCUCCUCUAGAACCUCUUUCCUCUCUCUAAAGCCACCAAAACAAAGACAGUCGCUGUUCUCCUCCGGCGUUCAGCUCGUUGCCAACGUCGGAGUGACUUCUCCUCUUCUCUCUCAUUUUUUUCCUUUUUGCUAGCCGCUCCUCCCCUUCCGGUGUACCGAUAUGCUUCGUGUGUUCUGGUCCAUUGUUGACUAUCUCUUCUCCGCCUCCUGCUCAUGAGGGAGCUUGGACUGAGAGGGUCGUCAAUCUCUGGAAUUCCGGUGAGGUGCGUUUCGGAGGCUGAGUGAAGCUAGUCGGCUUUUGGGUCAAGAUUUGUCUGGUUCCUUUUCACCUUAGAUCUACGAUAAAUCUUGGCGUUUGGUGGCGCGUGCUCUCGUGUGGAGACUCCUCCGUACCGGAUCUGUUCUUCAUCGUCGUGUUUCUUUCAUUGGAGUUCGGACAGAGUGGAGCGGUGGCGCAUGAUGCAUUCCUUCGCUUGGCGUCUCGUCGGAGGAGGCUCGUGUGGCUACCGUUCAGGUGGUUUCUGAGUGGUUAAUCCACAAAGGCGCGUCCAAGGUGUAGGAUUCGUCGUGUGUCGGCUCCUCCGCUUUGACGACGGCGCGUGUUGUUCAAUGCACGGUGUCGGUGAUGAGUCGUCUAUGGCUAUGUUAUCCUGCCGUGACAGAGAUGCUUCCGCCUUGAUCUUCUCCGGUCAUGGCUCUCCCGUCACACUCUCACGGUUGAUUCUUUCGCGGAGGCUCACCGUUUCUGAGUUGUACUUUAGUCACGUCUUAUGGAGUUAUAGCUUUGCUCGUGCAAGCUUAUCUCCUGUCUGGAUCGAUCUUGUCACUGGUUCUCAGUGACGGUUCCUGAGGAGACCUGUUCUAUACUGGUGUGUCAUUCGGUUUGGUCUGGUCUCGGUGGCCUGAGGAGUAGUUUCCAACAUCCCAGCACUAGAGUGAGUCUCUGGUGGUUGCGGACUGCUCGGUCCCGGUGUGUCAAAGUGCUACGUUUCGUGGAGUAGCUGCCGCUAUUCAACCCGCUUUCCCUUUUGCUCUUGGUAGUGACGGGUUCGGUUACCCGGUCACUUUUCGGAUCUUUGGUUGUAUUGUCUUAGGAAUUCGCUGGGUUCGUGUCGUGAAGCGUCGUCGGUUUCUGCUGGGUUCGUGCUAAGGAUGGGUGUCGUCAGUCUCUGUUGAGUUCGUGUGGCGAGUCUUUCCGGUCUUUCGGUUUGUAUUCAAAGCGUCGUCGGGAGUUUAGGGUUCGUACCUUGAAGCGUCGUCGGGAGACUAGGGUUCGUGCUAAAUGGCGUGGUCGGUUUUCCUACCCGCCUUGGCGGAAGUUAGAUCAGAAAUUGUAGUUUUAAAAUUUGUUUCAGAUUUUAAUUCUACCGAUCUGUUCCAUAAGUCUUUUUACACUUUUUUUGGGGGCUUAUGCAACUUUGUAGUUUCAUUUUAACUAAUGAAUAUUUACCAUUUAGCAAAAAAAAAGAAAAAUAGUUAGCUAUCAGCAUAUGAUCGUUUCGGUUAACAACACUCGUACAUAUGUGCUCAAUUUUUAAAGACGAACUCUACAUCAUCAAUUGGGAUUGCCAAUCGAUAGGUUAGUGACAACUUUGAUUAUUACAUGCCAAUGGAAAAUUGCAGGGUAUUAUAUGCUUGGUGUUUUGGUUAACGUACACUAAUAACAUCAACAAUACUUUAUCUCUUACUCGUAUUGUUUGAUAUAUAUACUUUUAAGCGUUACACAUAAUAUUAUCUGUUAAGUUUGUAAUAUCAAGGGUAUAAAUUAUCAAUUUUCAUUUCAUGUAUUAGAAAGGGGUUAUUAUUAUUAGCAGCUACCUGGCAUCGUACAUGUUACUUCGGGUAGAAGCAGCCAUAAAUACGCUUACCUCCAACCGAUAACAUCAACAAUGCUUUAUCUCUCAAUCGUAUUGUUUGAUAUAUACUUUUAACCUAAGCGUUAAAAAUAAUAUCAUCAGUUAAGUUUGUACUUAGUUACUAAUAUCAAGGGUAUAAUUUACUAAACUUCAUUUUUCAUGUAUUAGAAAGAGGUGAUUAUUAGUAGCAGCUACCAUACAUCGUACAUGUUACUUCAGCCAUAAGCCUCCACAAAUACAAUUACCCCCUACCAACUUUACUUUAAAGAUAGUCUAGACUAUUAGAAAAAAAUGAAUGUUAAUAACACAAACAAAAUUAGAUAGAUAGUAGAGAUUUUGAAACAUUGCUAACUGGUUACUCCGCAAAAAAGGAACCAGAUCUCGUAUUUUCUCUUCACUAUGAGCAUACAGACCACGACGAACUGGCCAAAACACCCAGAAGAUGAAGCAUUUUUGGCUUGAGAUAUGAUCUUCCGUCCGAAUCUAGAGCGUCGGAUUAACCCUAUAGCGGCGGAUUCUUCACCGACAGCAAACAUGCGUUUCGGCAGCUGCAAAUACUCCAUAUCGCAGACGGAUAAACUUCCAAUACCACUCCGGGGAAGAUAAAUAGAUAUUUCUUUGGUUUAUGAAAGUAGACAACUGAAAGGGAGUGACUUUUCACUGAACAAAUAAACUUAAAAAACUGUAAUUGAUGCCUUUCUAUUUGCCCUCGACAUCUUUAACUAGUACUAGUGUAGUACAUAUAAUGGCGUGUAAUAAGUGGUUCCCUAUAUACUAGACUCUGACACAAUCUAUUAGAGCAAGAUAGCGUGGCCUUAGGUAUGUAGGGGUCGUUUCGUACUAAAAAAAAUCUAACAGUGCUUUCCACUUUCAACUUUCUCUGUGUAUAUACCACCUAAUUUCUCUAAUUUUUAUGCGCUUUUCCCUAUAUUUAUGUAUAUAGUUAUACUAUUAUAGUCUAAAUGGUAAUCACAAUAGCUUCAGCUUUUGAAGUAUUUGGAUUUAGUAUUGAAUAAUAUUGCACUAUUAGAGUUAAACAAGUUAUUUAAAUUUUGAAUUUCAUUACGAACUUUGAAUAAUGAGAAAAAUAGUACAUGCAUGUUUAUGAAUUAAGUGAGAAAAAUAGUAUAUGCAUGUUUUAUGAAUUAAACGUUGUUUGAUCCUACUGUCAUGAACGCUUGAUCAUUUAGCAUUUUGUUUGGUCUUAAUUUAUACAAAUAGACUAGAGUGGAAUGAUACUGAUGAAGGCCACAGUAAUCUACAGCUUUAAUUCAAUCUAAUGCACCUUUGAUCACUAUCUCAAGAACUUCAUCAUUUUCAAAGCCCAAUAGCAAAAACAAACAUUGCUAGAGUCUGUAAUUUUGUCCAGCCUUACUAUAGUAUGUAACUGUGCUACGCCUUCUUAACACUCAUGGCAUCAAAUAUAUAAUAAACUUGGUAAAAUAGCGCUUCAGUGUGUGUAACAAAUUCAGAUCAUUGAUCAAUAAACCUCACUGAAAUCCGCUAAGAUUAUUGUUUUAUCAUCAUAAGCUUUUAAAUUAGCUAUUUAAAGCCAAGACAAGAACAAGAAUAACAAUUAAAAUAUAUAAUCGAUCAAAAGACUAAAUAUAUAAGAUAAAAGGGUAUACUCAGACAGCCAAGGGUUACUCUUCAACUUCUGGGUGAAGUGCCCAGAUCUGAAACUCUAGUCCACAACAUAAUUGUAUCAUCACCAUAUACCAUUCAACAUUCAAUCAACACAAAAAUUCUCAAGCUCUAUUAAAAUAGAGAUACAAGCAAGACCAGAGCUUGAAAGAAUGAGAUUAACAGAAAAGAAACCAGUUACCAUAAUGGUCUCACAUUAAUAUCUGAAUUACAAUAAUGGCACCAACCACAGCCUCGACAGAAACUCGUUCAGGAGUUAAAAAAGGUUAAGAUGUUUGGGAUGUCACAUACAAAGGAACAUUAAAAAUACAAUAUGCGAGGCAUUUCCAGGAUCAAAAGGCACUGAGAAAAAGCAAGAUGAUCAGGAUAUACCACAAAACUAUUGCGUCACAAGCCAUUAUACCUGAAGAAACUGUAUUUAUCCCUCAGAAUUGGUAAUGGACGCCAACAAAAAAAAAGAAAAAAACACUGAAAGUUUAAUAUGCUCAGUGGAAGGAGAAGUCGUUUAAUUAGGAAAGCUCACGGCAAGAACAAACCCUUUUCAGAAUUUGUAAUUGUCCACUGCUCUUCUUACACUCUUCGUGCUUUUAUCACAUCAUAGCAUCAAAACAUAAACCUCAUAUUAAAAAGCCUCAGUGUGUGUAACAAAUUCAGAUCAUUGAUCAAUUAACCUCACUGAAAUCCGCUAAGAUAUUUGUUUUUAUCAUCAUAAGCUUUUUACAGAGGCCCACACAGAACAUAAAACAAAAAGAUUGUCUUUUUAAGAUCAAUUACAAAAUUAUAUUUUAUAAGUACCGGUGUAAAAGGGAAUACUCAGACAGCCAAGGGUUACUCUUCAACUUCUGGGUGAAGUGCCCAGAUCUGAAACUCUAGUCCACAACAUUAUUGUAACAUCACCAUAUACCCUUUCACAAAAACAUAAGACAAAAAAAAUGAAAAAAAUCAGAGAAACAAGAAGAGAGAAAGCUCAUAUGAUUUGCAGAAGACAAAAAGCAGAUAAAUAUACACAACCAAAAACUGAGAAAUAGGGCUCCCUUCGGCGGCGGCUGUAAUUUAUUUUAGCCUUUUCUUGGCCCAUUUAGUUUCAUUGCGCCAGUCUUUCGUGACCCAACAAACAACUUAAAUCACUGUAUAAGCGCGCGCACAAGACCUUUCCUUACCAUUUCUGGCUAAACCAGUCAACGCUGAAAAAGACAAAUCCCAAAAAAGGAAAGAAAAUAUAAAACAAAUAAAAUGAAAAUCGAACUUGUGUUCAUACCCGCGGCGGAAAUUGGUCAUCUCCGGUCAACCGUCGAGUUAGCCAAGAAACUCCUCAACGAAGAUGAUCGUCUCUCAAUCACCGUACUCAUCAUCCCUCGCCCUUCCGCCGAUGAUUCCGACCAUGUUACACCCCUCUUCACGCCGUCUCAAGACCGCCUCCGCCACGUCACCAUCUCCGCCGCAGAUCAACCACCCGACGUUCCUCUCGAUCCUCAAGCCUACAUGGACAACCAAAAGCCGAAAGUGAGAGACGCAGUCUCCAAACUCCUCGACUCGCCGCCGCGGCUCGCCGGAUUAGUCGUCGACAUGUUCUGCACGUCGAUGAUAGAAGUAGCUGAAGAAUUCAAAGUUCCCACAUAUAUGAUGUACACGUCAAACGCUGCGUUUCUCGGAAUCACGCUUCAUCUCCAGUUAAUGUUCGACGAGAAGAAGUAUGACGUCAGCGAGUUGGACGAGUCAGUCAACGAGUUGGACUUCCCGUGUUUGACUCGUCCUUAUCCCGUGAAAUGUCUUCCUUAUCUCUUCACCUCUAAGCAGUGGCUUCCCUUCUUUUUUGACCAAGCGAGAAACUUCCGAAAGAUGAAGGGUAUUUUAGUAAAUACCGUUGCUGAGCUGGAGCCUCACUCUUUGAAAAUAUUCUCCCGCGGCGGUUAUGGUGGUGACGACCUUCCUCAAGCGUAUCCAGUGGGACCACUGUUGCAUCUCCAAAACGACGUCGUAGAAGGGAAGCAAUCGGAGGUUUUACGGUGGCUCGACGAGCAACCGGCGAGAUCCGUCGUGUUCCUCUGUUUCGGGAGCAUGGGAGGUUUCAACGAGGAGCAAACGAGAGAAAUCGCCGUCGCGUUGGAACGAAGCGGCUACCGGUUUCUCUGGUCUCUCCGCCGCGGAUCGCCGGAUAUACUGACGGAGCCUCCCGGAGAUUACGCGGAUCUGGAGGAAGUUUUACCGGAGGGAUUCUCGGAUCGGACGUCGGAGAGAGGGAAGGUGAUCGGAUGGGCUCCGCAAGUGGCGGUGCUGGCUAAGCCGGCGAUCGGGAGCUUCGUGACCCACUGUGGAUGGAACUCGAUGCUUGAGAGCUUGUGGUUCGGCGUUCCGAUGGUGACGUGGCCGCUCUACGCGGAGCAGAAGAUCAACGCGUUCGAGAUGGUGGAGGAGCUUGGACUGGCGGUGGAGAUACGGAGGUUCUUUANNNNNNNNNNNNNNNNNNNNNNNNNNNNNNNNNNNNNNNNNNNNNNNNNNNNNNNNNNNNNNNNNNNNNNNNNNNNNNNNNNNNNNNNNNNNNNNNNNNNNNNNNNNNNNNNNNNNNNNNNNNNNNNNNNNNNNNNNNNNNNNNNNNNNNNNNNNNNNNNNNNNNNNNNNNNNNNNNNNNNNNNNNNNNNNNNNNNNNNNNNNNNNNNNNNNNNNNNNNNNNNGGUAUCCAGGGUGGUUUCUGAGUGGUUAAUCCACAAAGGCGCGUCCAAGGUGUAGGAUUCGUUGUGUGUCGGCUCCUCCGCUUUGACGAUGGCGCGUGUUGUUCAAUGCACGGUGUCGGUGAUGAGUCGUCUAUGGCUAUGUUAUCCUGCCGUGACAGAGAUGCUUCCGCCUUGAUCUUCUCCGGUCAUGGCUCUCCCGUCACACUCUCACGGUUGAUUCUUUCGCGGAGGCUCACCGUUUCUGAGUUGUACUUUAGUCACGUCUUAUGGAGUUAUAGCUUUGCUCGUGCAAGCUUAUCUCCUGUCUGGAUCGAUCUUGUCACUGGUUCUCAGUGACGGUUCCUGAGGAGACCUGUUCUAUACUGGUGUGUCAUUCGGUUUGGUCUGGUCUCGGUGGCCUGAGGAGUAGUUUCCAACAUCCCAGCACUAGAGUGAGUCUCUGGUGGUUGCGGACUGCUCGGUCCCGGUGUGUCAAAGUGCUACGUUUCGUGGAGUAGCUGCCGCUAUUCAACCCGCUUUCCCUUUUGCUCUUGGUAGUGACGGGUUCGGUUACCCGGUCACUUUUCGGAUCUUUGGUUGUAUUGUCUUAGGAAUUCGCUGGGUUCGUGUCGUGAAGCGUCGUCGGUUUCUGCUGGGUUCGUGCUAAGGAUGGGUGUCGUCAGUCUCUGUUGAGUUCGUGUGGCGAGUCUUUCCGGUCUUUCGGUUUGUAUUCAAAGCGUCGUCGGGAGUUUAGGGUUCGUACCUUGAAGCGUCGUCGGGAGACUAGGGUUCGUGCUAAAUGGCGUGGUCGGUUUUCCUACCCGCCUUGGCGGAAGUUAGAUCAGAAAUUGUAGUUUUAAAAUUUGUUUCAGAUUUUAAUUCUACCGAUCUGUUCCAUAAGUCUUUUUACACUUUUUUUGGGGGCUUAUGCAACUUUGUAGUUUCAUUUUAACUAAUGAAUAUUUACCAUUUAGCA